GAUGAACGCUGGCGGCGUGCCUAAUACAUGCAAGUCGAGCGAACGGACGAGAAGCUUGCUUUUCUGAUGUUAGCGGCGGACGGGUGAGUAACACGUGGAUAACCUACCUAUAAGACUGGGAUAACUUCGGGAAACCGGAGCUAAUACCGGAUAAUAUUUUGAACCGCAUGGUUCAAAAGUGAAAGACGGUCUUGCUGUCACUUAUAGAUGGAUCCGCGCUGCAUUAGCUAGUUGGUAAGGUAACGGCUUACCAAGGCAACGAUGCAUAGCCGACCUGAGAGGGUGAUCGGCCACACUGGAACUGAGACACGGUCCAGACUCCUACGGGAGGCAGCAGUAGGGAAUCUUCCGCAAUGGGCGAAAGCCUGACGGAGCAACGCCGCGUGAGUGAUGAAGGUCUUCGGAUCGUAAAACUCUGUUAUUAGGGAAGAACAUAUGUGUAAGUAACUGUGCACAUCUUGACGGUACCUAAUCAGAAAGCCACGGCUAACUACGUGCCAGCAGCCGCGGUAAUACGUAGGUGGCAAGCGUUAUCCGGAAUUAUUGGGCGUAAAGCGCGCGUAGGCGGUUUUUUAAGUCUGAUGUGAAAGCCCACGGCUCAACCGUGGAGGGUCAUUGGAAACUGGAAAACUUGAGUGCAGAAGAGGAAAGUGGAAUUCCAUGUGUAGCGGUGAAAUGCGCAGAGAUGUGGAGGAACACCAGUGGCGAAGGCGACUUUCUGGUCUGUAACUGACGCUGGUGUGCGAAAGCGUGGGGAUCAAACAGGAUUAGAUACCCUGGUAGUCCACGCCGUAAACGAUGAGUGCUAAGUGUUAGGGGGUUUCCGCCCCUUAGUGCUGCAGCUAACGCAUUAAGCACUCCGCCUGGGGAGUACGACCGCAAGGUUGAAACUCAAAGGAAUUGACGGGGGCCCGCACAAGCGGUGGAGCAUGUGGUUUAAUUCGAAGCAACGCGAAGAACCUUACCAAAUCUUGACAUCCUUUGACAACUCUAGAGAUAGAGCCUUCCCCUUCGGGGGACAAAGUGACAGGUGAUGCAUGGUUGUCGUCAGCUCGUGUCGUGAGAUGUUGGGUUAAGUCCCGCGACGAGCGCAACCCUUAAGCUUAGUUGCCAUCAUUAAGUUGGGCACUCUAAGUUGACUGCCGGUGACAAACCGGAGGAAGGUGGGGAUGACGUCAAAUCAUCAUGCCCCUUAUGAUUUGGGCUACACACGUGCUACAAUGGACAAUACAAAGGGCAGCGAAACCGCGAGGUCAAGCAAAUCCCAUAAAGUUGUUCUCAGUUCGGAUUGUAGUCUGCAACUCGACUACAUGAAGCUGGAAUCGCUAGUAAUCGUAGAUCAGCAUGCUACGGUGAAUACGUUCCCGGGUCU
rnacentral:rRNA from 1 species